CCUACGGGGAGCAGCAGUGAGGAAUAUUGGUCAAUGGGCUUACGCCUGAACCAGCCAAGUCGCGUGAGGGAAGACUGCCCUAUGGGUUGUAAACCUCUUUUGUCAGGGAGCAACGCCGGCUACGUGUAGCCGGACUGAGAGUACCUGAAGAAAAAGCAUCGGCUAACUCCGUGCCAGCAGCCGCGGUAAUACGGAGGAUGCGAGCGUUCUCCGGAUUUAUGGGGUUUAAAGGGUGCGUAGGCGGAAUGCCAAGUCAGCGGUAAAAUCGCGGGGCUCAACCUCGCUCCGCCGUUGAAACUGGCGUUCUUGAGUGGGCGAGAAGUAUGCGGAAUGCGUGGUGUAGCGGUGAAAUGCAUAGAUAUCACGCAGAACUCCGAUUGCGAAGGCAGCAUACCGGCGCCCAACUGACGCUGAAGCACGAAAGCGUGGGUAUCGAACAGGAUUAGAUACCCUAGUAGUC
rnacentral:rRNA from 1 species